rnacentral:rRNA from 1 species
AGCGAACGCUGGCGGCAGGCCUAACACAUGCAAGUCGAGCGCCCCGCAAGGGGAGCGGCAGACGGGAGAGUAACACGUGGGAACGUACCCUUUGGUUCGGAACAACCCAGGGAAACUUGGGCUAAUACCGGAUAAGCCCUUACGGGGAAAGAUUCAUCGCCGAAGGAUCGGCCCGCGUCUGAUUAGCUAGUUGGUGGGGUAACGGCCCACCAAGGCGACGAUCAGUAGCUGGUCUGAGAGGAUGAUCAGCCUCACUGGGACUGAGACACGGCCCAGACUCCUACGGGAGGCAGCAGUGGGGAAUAUUGGACAAUGGGCGCAAGCCUGAUCCAGCCAUGCCGCGUGGGUGAUGAAGGACCUAGGGUUGUAAAGCCCUUUCGGCGGGGAAGAUAAUGACGGUACCCGCAGAAGAAGCCCCGGCUAACUUCGUGCCAGCAGCCGCCGUAAGAC